rnacentral:piRNA from 1 species
UCAUUAGAGAUGACUUCCCAAGGCCCAAGA